GCGGGAGUGGUGCAACGCGGCAGACACGCCGUCCUCAGAAGGCGGCUCAUGUGAGUUCGAAUCUCACCUCCCGCACCA
rnacentral:tRNA from 1 species